UACAGAGGUCCCAAGCGUUGUUCGGAUUCAUUGGGCGUAAAGGGUGCGUAGGUGGCGUCGUAAGUCGGGUGUGAAAUCUCGGGGCUUAACUCCGAAACUGCAUUCGAUACUGCGGUGCUUGAGGACUGGAGAGGAGACUGGAAUUCAUGGUGUAGCAGUGAAAUGCGUAGAGAUCAUGAGGAAGACCAGUGGCGAAGGCAGGUCUCUGGACAGUUCCUGACACUGAGACACGAAGGCCAGGGGAGCAAACGGG
rnacentral:rRNA from 1 species